rnacentral:rRNA from 1 species
CAGCAGCCGCGGGAAUACGAAGGGUGCAAGCGUUACUCGGAAUUACUGGGCGUAAAGCGUGCGUAGGUGGUGGUUUAAGUCCGUUGUGAAAGCCCUGGGCUCAACCUGGGAAUUGCAGUGGAUACUGGGUCACUAGAGUGUGGUAGAGGAUAGUGGAAUUUCCGGUGUAGCAGUGAAAUGCGUAGAGAUCGGAAGGAACAUCUGUGGCGAAGGCGACUAUCUGGGCCAACACUGACACUGAGGCACGAAAGCGUGGGGAGCAAACAGGAUUAGAUACCCCAGUAGUCCCUGUCUCCUUAUA